UGGGGUCAAUCUAUUAGGAAUGGGUUUAUAUAGUUAUGGUUCAUUCACAUUAACAUCUAACUGAAUAAGCUACAUAAAAAGUACAUAAAAAUAUUUUCCCAUAUAUAAUGAAAGUUUUCUUGUUCGACUUUUUGUUUUGACAACCUGUCAAAACAAGAUCUGCAUCUCAUUACAACUCUAAUUCACUUUAUUUUUGUUG
rnacentral:lncRNA from 1 species